rnacentral:tRNA from 1 species
GGAGAGAUGGCCGAGCUGGCUGAAGGCGCUCGCCUGCUAAGCGAGUGUGCGGCGAAAGUUGCACCCCGGGUUCGAAUCCCGGUCUCUCCGCCA